AAUGAACGUUGGCGGCGUGGAUUAGGCAUGCAAGUCGAGCGAGAACCCCGCAAGGGGGGACAGCGGCGAAAGGGACAGUAAUGUGUAGAUUAUCUGCCCUCAGGUCCGGGAUAGCUGCGGGGAAACUGCAGGUAAUACCGGAUAACAUCUCCGGAUCAAAGGUGUGAUUCCGCCUGAGGAUGAGUCUGCAUCCUAUUAGCUAGUUGGUGGGGUAAUGGCCUACCAAGGCAUUGAUGGGUAGCAGGUGUGAGAGCACGACCUGCGUCAUUGGGACUGAGACACUGCCCAGACACCUACGGGUGGCUGCAGUCGAGAAUCUUCGGCAAUGGGCGCAAGCCUGACCGAGCGACGCCGCGUGUGGGAUGAAGGCCUUCGGGUUGUAAACCACUGUCAGAGGGGAUGAAAUGCAGGUGGGUUCUCCCAUCUGUUUGACAUAGCCUCAGAGGAAGGACGGGCUAAGUUCGUG
rnacentral:rRNA from 1 species